rnacentral:rRNA from 1 species
AUUCCAGCUCCAAUAGCGUAUGUUAAGGUUGCUGCGGUUGAAACAAGCGCGUAGUUGGAUUUCUGCCGAGGACGGCCGGUCUACCCACUGGGUGUGUAUCUGGUUCGGCAUGGGCAUAUUCUUGGUGAACGUAUCUGCACUUGACUGUGUGGCGCGGUAUCCAGGACCUUCACGUUGGGGAAAUUAGAUUGUUCCAAGCAGGCACAGGCCUUGAAUACAUUAGAAUGGAACAAGAAGCUAGGACCUCGGUUCUAUUUUGUUGGUUUCUAGAGCUGUGGUAACGAUUAAUAGGAGUCCUUGGGGGCACUCGUAUUUCAUUGUCAGAGAUGAAAUUAUUUGAUUUGUUAAAGACGGACUACUGCGAAAGCAUUUGCCAAGGAUGUUCUCAUUG